AGCGAACGCUGGCGGCAGGCUUAACACAUGCAAGUCGAGCGGGCAUCUUCGGGUGUCAGCGGCGGACGGGUGAGUAACGCGUGGGAACGUGCCUUCCGGUUCGGAAUAACUCAGGGAAACUUGAGCUAAUACCGGAUACGCCCUUUUGGGGAAAGGUUUACUGCCGGAAGAUCGGCCCGCGUCUGAUUAGCUAGUUGGUGGGGUAACGGCCUACCAAGGCGACGAUCAGUAGCUGGUCUGAGAGGAUGAUCAGCCACACUGGGACUGAGACACGGCCCAGACUCCUACGGGAGGCAGCAGUGGGGAAUAUUGGACAAUGGGGGCAACCCUGAUCCAGCCAUGCCGCGUGAGUGAUGAAGGCCUUAGGGUUGUAAAGCUCUUUUAUCCGGGACGAUAAUGACGGUACCGGAGGAAUAAGCCCCGGCUAACUUCGUGCCAGCAGCCGCCGUAA
rnacentral:rRNA from 1 species